rnacentral:rRNA from 1 species
UACGGAGGAUGCGAGCGUUAUCCGGAUUUAUUGGGUUUAAAGGGUGCGUAGGCGGCCAUUUAAGUCAGCGGUGAAAUUUUGCAGCUUAACUGUAACAGUGCCGUUGAUACUGUUUGGCUAGGAUUUGGUUGUAGUGUGCGGAAUGUGUGGUGUAGCGGUGAAAUGCUUAGAGAUCACACAGAAUAUCGAUUGCGAAGGCAGCUCACAAAGCCAAGAUUGACGCUGAGGCACGAAAGUGUGGGGAGUCAAACAGGAUUA